rnacentral:rRNA from 2 species
UGGAUCCAGACUUUGAUCCUGGCUCAGGAUGAACGCUAGCUACAGGCUUAACACAUGCAAGUCGAGGGGAAACGACAUCGAAAGCUUGCUUUUGAUGGGCGUCGACCGGCGCACGGGUGAGUAACGCGUAUCCAAUCUGCCCACCACUUGGGGAUAACCUUGCGAAAGUAAGACUAAUACCCAAUGAUAUCUCUAGAAGACAUCUGAAGGAGAUUAAAGAUUUAUCGGUGAUGGAUGGGGAUGCGUCUGAUUAGCUUGUUGGCGGGGUAACGGCCCACCAAGGCUACGAUCAGUAGGGGUUCUGAGAGGAAGGUCCCCCACAUUGGAACUGAGACACGGUCCAAACUCCUACGGGAGGCAGCUGUGAGGAAUAUUGGUCAAUGGGCGAGAGCCUGAGCCAGCCAAGUAGCGUGCAGGAUGACGGCCCUAUGGGUUGUAAACUGCUUUUAUAAGGGAAUAAAGUGGGAGUCGUGACUCUUUUUGCAUGUACCUUAUGAAUAAGGACCGGCUAAUUCCGUGCCAGCAGCCGCGGUAAUACGAAAGGUCCGGGCGUUAUCCGGAUUUAUUGGGUUUAAAGGGAGCGUAGGCCGGAGAUUAAGCGUGUUGUGAAAUGUAGAUGCUCAACAUCUGCACUGCAGCGCGAACUGGUUUCCUUGAGUACGCACAAAGUGGGUGGAAUUCGUGGUGUAGCGGUGAAAUGCUUAGAUAUCACGAAGAACUCCGAUUGCGAAGGCAGCUCACUGGAGCGCAACUGACGCUGAAGCUCGAAAGUGCGGGUAUCGAACAGGAUUAGAUACCCUGGUAGUCCGCACGGUAAACGAUGGAUGCCCGCUGUUGGUCUGAAUAGGUCAGCGGCCAAGCGAAAGCAUUAAGCAUCCCACCUGGGGAGUACGCCGGCAACGGUGCAACUCAAAGGAAUUGACGGA